rnacentral:rRNA from 1 species
AUACGGAGGGUGCAAGCGUUAUCCGGAAUCAUUGGGUUUAAAGGGUCCGUAGGCGGACUAUUAAGUCAGAGGUGAAAUCCCACAGCUCAACUGUGGAACUGCCUUUGAUACUGGUAGUCUUGAGUUAUAUGGAAGUAGAUAGAAUGUGUAGUGUAGCGGUGAAAUGCAUAGAUAUUACACAGAAUACCGAUUGCGAAGGCAGUCUACUACGUAUAUACUGACGCUAAGGGACGAAAGCGUAGGGAGCGAACAGGAUUAGAUACCCUAGUAGUCC